rnacentral:rRNA from 1 species
UUAACACAUGCAAGUCGAACGGAAAGGCCCUGCUUUUGUGGGGUGCUCGAGUGGCGAACGGGUGAGUAACACGUGAGUAACCUGCCCUUGACUUUGGGAUAACUUCAGGAAACUGGGGCUAAUACCGGAUAGGAGCUCCUGCUGCAUGGUGGGGGUUGGAAAGUUUCGGCGGUUGGGGAUGGACUCGCGGCUUAUCAGCUUGUUGGUGGGGUAGUGGCUUACCAAGGCUUUGACGGGUAGCCGGCCUGAGAGGGUGACCGGCCACAUUGGGGCCGAGAUACGGCCCAGACUCCUACGGGAGGCAGCAGUGGGGAAUAUUGCACAAUGGGCGGAAGCCUGAUGCAGCAACGCCGCGUGCGGGAUGACGGCCUUCGGGUUGUAAACCGCUUUCGCCUGUGACGAAGCGUGAGUGACGGUAAUGGGUAAAGAAGCACCGGCUAACUACGUGCCAGCAGCCGCGGUGAUACGUAGGGUGCGAGCGUUGUCCGGAUUUAUUGGGCGUAAAGGGCUCGUAGGUGGUUGAUCGCGUCGGAAGUGUAAUCUUGGGGCUUAACCCUGAGCGUGCUUUCGAUACGGGUUGACUUGAGGAAGGUAGGGGAGAAUGGAAUUCCUGGUGGAGCGGUGGAAUGCGCAGAUAUCAGGAGGAACACCAGUGGCGAAGGCGGUUCUCUGGGCCUUUCCUGACGCUGAAGAGCGAAAGCGUGGGGAGCGAACAGGCUUAGAUACCCUGGUAGUCCACGCUGUAAACGGUGGGUACUGGGUGUGGGGUCCAUUCCACGGGUUCCGUGCCGUAGCUAACGCUUUAAGUACCCCGCCUGGGGAGUACGGCCGCAAGGCUAAAACUCAAAGGAAUUGACGGGGCCCCGCACAAGCGGCGGAGCAUGCGGAUUAAUUCGAUGCAACGCGUAGAACCUUACCUGGGUUUGACAUGGAUCGGGAGUGCUCAGAGAUGGGUGUGCCUCUUUUGGGGUCGGUUCACAGGUGGUGCAUGGCUGUCGUCAGCUCGUGUCGUGAGAUGUUGGGUUAAGUCCCGCAACGAGCGCAACCCUUGUUCACUGUUGCCAGCACGUUAUGGUGGGGACUCAGUGGAGACCGCCGGGGUCAACUCGGAGGAAGGUGGGGAUGACGUCAAGUCAUCAUGCCCCUUAUGUCCAGGGCUUCACGCAUGCUACAAUGGCUGGUACAGAGAGUGGCGAGCCUGUGAGGGUGAGCGAAUCUCGGAAAGCCGGUCUCAGUUCGGAUUGGGGUCUGCAACUCGACCUCAUGAAGUCGGAGUCGCUAGUAAUCGCAGAUCAGCAACGCUGCGGUGAAUACGUUCCCGGGGCUUGUACACACCGCCCGUCAAGUCAUGAAAGUUGGUAACACCCGAAGCCGGUGGCCUAACCGUUGUGGGGGAGCCGUCGAAGGUGGGACUGGUGAUUAGGACUAAGUCAU